rnacentral:rRNA from 1 species
CCCUUAGAUGUCCGGGGCCGCACGCGCGCUACACUGAAGGAAUCAGCGUGGCUUUCUCCCUGACCCGAAAGGGUUGGGAAACCCGUUGAAUCUCCUUCGUGAUAGGGAUUGGGGCUUGAAAUUGUUCCCCAUGAACGAGGAAUGCCCAGUAAGCGCGAGUCAUAAGCUCGCGUUGAUUACGUCCCUGCCCUUUGUACACACCGCCCGUCGCUACUACCGAUUGAACGGUUUAGUGAGGGCCUCGGAUUGGUCUCGGCCCGCUCUUUACCGGGCGGCGCCGUUGGUCGAGAAGACGCUCGAACUUGAUCGUUUAGAGGAAGUAAAAGUCGUAACA